rnacentral:lncRNA from 1 species
CAGUUUCUGCCUCAAGUUCCUACCAUUAAUUCCUUUCCUGACUUCCCUUCAUGACAGACUGAAACCUGUAAGGACAUUGCUUUCUUCAAUCAAUCAAUAUGCAUGCAGUGGCAGACACAGUUAUCUUUUUUGGAAAGUUUCUAUAUUACUUUUUAGAAUCUUUAGUUUUCAAGGUAAUUCCUAAAAGAAGAAAGGAUGUUUCUGGAGAGAUUGUACUUAUAACAGGAGCUGGGAGUGGACUUGGAAGGCUACUGGCCAUGCAUUUUGCCAACCACGGGGCCACCUUAGUUCUCUGGGACAUUAAUCAAGAAGGCAAUAUGGAAACAUAUAAACUGGUCAAACAAAAAGGUGAUGUGAAAGUCUUUGCCUACAAGUGUGAUUGCAGCAACAGAACAGAGGUCUACAGAGUUGCUGAUCAGGUGAG